CAGCCGCCGCGGUAAUACGUAGGUGGCAAGCGUUGUCCGGAAUUAUUGGGCGUAAAGGGCUCGCAGGCGGUUUCUUAAGUCUGAUGUGAAAGCCCCCGGCUCAACCGGGGAGGGUCAUUGGAAACUGGGAAACUUGAGUGCAGAAGAGGAGAGUGGAAUUCCACGUGUAGCGGUGAAAUGCGUAGAGAUGUGGAGGAACACCAGUGACGAAGGCGACUCUCUGGUCUGUAACUGACGCUGAGGAGCGAAAGCGUGGGGAGCGAACAGGAUUAGAUACCCCCGUAGUCCCUGUCUCUUAUAC
rnacentral:rRNA from 1 species